GUAUGUGAAGCAGUGUGAGCUGUUCUUUCAUAAAAGACUGAUAUCCUAUUCCUUAUUUGGUAGUGAGUGCCUCCCCUCAUUACUGACACUAUCAAAUGAUGUGGUACCUAAUGUCAGACUAGCUGUAGCUAGGACCCUCUACUCUACACUAGACAAUACACAAUUUAUCUCUGCCAAUCAAUCCUUUUCUCAAGACAUCAGUUCAAUCAUAUCAAAAC